CUACGGGCGGCAGCAGUGAGGAAUAUUGCACAAUGGGGGGAACCCUGAUGCAGCAACGCCGCGUGGAGGAUGACGCAUUUCGGUGUGUAAACUCCUUUUAUAUGUCAAGAAAAUGACGGUAGCAUAUGAAUAAGCACCGGCUAACUCCGUGCCAGCAGCCGCGGUAAUACGGAGGGUGCAAGCGUUACUCGGAAUCACUGGGCGUAAAGGACGCGUAGGCGGGGUGGAAAGUCAGGUGUGAAAUCCUACAGCUUAACUGUAGAACUGCACUUGAAACUUCUAAUCUAGAGUAUGGGAGGGGAAGAUGGAAUUAGUGGUGUAGGGGUAAAAUCCGUAGAUAUCACUAGGAAUACCUAAAGCGAAGGCGAUCUCCUGGAACAUUACUGACGCUAAGGCGUGAAAGCGUGGGGAGCAAACAGGAUUAGAUACCCGAGUAGUC
rnacentral:rRNA from 1 species